GUGUCUCCUGAUUUCCAUCUCGCGCACUCUGCUCUUGGGGACCUGACAUCCAGCUGCGGUUACUGGAGAACUGGAGAAAAUGAAAGCACCCAACCUACAAACAAGAGUAAAGAGGCUAAAGGUCUGUGCAGAAGAAAAAUGGAAAUAAACGCUCAGAGCAAAGGAGGAUGGUUUGAUCUAUUUCAAAGGUUUAUACCAUGGCCAGCACCAGAGUAAAUUGAACAAAAUGACUUGGAUCUGUUACCCGUCAAAAGCUGAUUAAUGUUAAUAGACAGUAAAUAACAAACUCUGAUGUUCAAUUACUUUUGGCACCACUGCUUUGUGCAAAGCUUGGAGAAUAGUUCCCUCUUACAACCUUUCAGUUGUAUAACUGGCUGUGCCACAGGAGAACUGAUAUUCAUCUUAUUUUAUACUCAUGUAUGUCCUCUCAAAUGGCCUUUUACUAGUGAGUCCAUAAAGUAUGCUUUAGGCAUCGUACUUUCAUAUUCUGGCAGAAAGCAGGAUGUAUCUUUUCUUAUUUAAUUCUUGCAACUUACACUUUACCACGCUUUCUUGAAUCAUUUUCAUGUCAUUGUUUGGUGAUUUGAGCUUCUCUAUAGCAAGCACUCAGUUUUAUGGUCUUAAAGUUUCUUUCUCCUUCCUCUCGGUCCAAAAGAAAGUCUAUUUUAUAGCAAAAUAAUAGGCUAACUAGGAUGCCAAAUGGAAAUGACCUACGUUUCUGCCUGUUGGCAAAUAGAAAUUAUCAAUAGAACAGAUUAUUUGAAUAUAAAUGUUGAUUUCAUGUUGAUAUGCAACCCUGGAUAUAAAAUGCACGUUAACCAAGGUGACUACUUGAUUUUAUGUACAGCAGUUACACAUAUCUUAGAAAAUGGUUUUUUUCUGGGUCCCCCACUACAGGAGGGAUGUG